AAACUUGAACAACAGCAUCUUCUUGUGUGACCCCAAAUGUUGAUCAGAGAAAUGCAUCGAAAUGAAACCUUUACCAAAUUUCUCAUAUGCUUUGUCACCAAAAACCUGAUCAAGCACGGUUUCAUUGAGCAUAUCCCCUGCCACCUCCUUUGACUCAGCUACAACAGCUAACUCCUCAGCAAUCCACUUCUUACCACUAGGUGGACUCACCAAUGAUGCAAAUCUCUGCAGAUCUGUAGUCUCCUUUUGCAUUGUCUUGGCCAAUUUCUUCUUAGCCACAGCAACAACCACAUGAUCCAUUGCAUCAUCAUUCAUAUACACCUCAAAGGUUAUCUCAUCUUUGCAAGGCACAACCAUAUUGUACAACCUGGAAAUCAAAUCGUGCCUACUUUUAAGCUCCAUGGUAGCCAGCAAACCCUGGCAAAAUCUCCUCCCACUUGCAUAAAACUUGAACACAUUUUGUCCUUCUUUUAACAACAACGGUGAAUCAUCAGUUUCCCCAACACCCAACAAACUGAAAUUCUUAUCAAAUAUGGAGUCCUUCGUUGCAAAUUUACUAGCCCAAGCUAAGGCUAAUUUCUCAUUCUCUUUUUUCCCAGUAAAAUAGUUUAUAACGAACAUAAUCAAAAAGGAAACACAAACUAUCUCAACAGUAUAAGACGAUAUGGUUUUCGGACUUUCAGGCUCAGACUCUGGUUCAAGUUUCAAACUGGGAUCAGAUUUAGAAGCAGCAGCAGUGUCAGAUUCCGUAAUUAAAGGUGAAUCAGAGGGUGGAGAUUGAGGGAAACCUUCGAACUCAUCCUCAUCCCAGACCUCAAAGGAUGUGGAGGCGGGUUUCGGAUCGGACGGCUGCGAUGUAACUUGAGAGGUGGGAUCAGCUGAAGGAAGAGGAGGACCAUGAUGAGAUUCAAUAGGGUCGGAAACUGAGAGGGUAGUGGUAGGGGGAGGAGGAGGGAUGUAUUUAGCGGCGGAUAUUGGUUCGUCGGAGUCCCCAAAGUCGUCGAUCUCAUCGGCGUCGAAACCCUCGAAGUGGCGGCUCUCGGCGGAGACAGGGGAGAGAUGGUGGAUAAGAAGGGAUAGGAUGGAGAAAAGGGCAAUAAGGUAAAAGAGAGUGUCGCCUCUAGGGAGGAUGAAGGAAGAGAGAGGAGAGAGAGAAAAGGAGUGCUUCGCCAUGACAGAGUUUCGAUUUGAU
rnacentral:misc_RNA from 1 species